rnacentral:rRNA from 1 species
CCUACGGGAGGCAGCAGUGGGGAAUUUUGGACAAUGGGCGAAAGCCUGAUCCAGCAAUGCCGCGUGUGGGAAGAAGGCCUUCGGGUUGUAAACCACUUUUGUACGGAACGAAACGGUUCGCUUUAAUACAGUGGGCUAAUGACGGUACCGUAAGAAUAAGCACCGGCUAACUACGUGCCAGCAGCCGCGGUAAUACGUAGGGUGCGAGCGUUAAUCGGAAUUACUGGGCGUAAAGCGUGCGCAGGCGGUCAUAUAAGACAGUUGUGAAAUCCCCGGGCUCAACCUGGGAAUUGCAUCUGUGACUGUAUAGCUAGAGUACGGUAGAGGGGGAUGGAAUUCCGCGUGUAGCAGUGAAAUGCGUAGAUAUGCGGAGGAACACCGAUGGCGAAGGCAAUCCCCUGGACCUGUACUGACGCUCAUGCACGAAAGCGUGGGGAGCAAACAGGAUUAGAUACCCUGGUAGUCCACGCCCUAAACCGAUGUCAACUGGUUGUUGGGUGNNUAGUACUCAGUACGAAGACACGCGUGAGUGACGCGNGGAGAGGCGCGAAGUAGUAGUUACAAGUAGUUAGUUAGNGNGNGNGNGCGACGACGACGACGACGGAGGAGGAGG